rnacentral:rRNA from 1 species
UACGUAGGGUGCAAGCGUUAAUCGGAAUUACUGGGCGUAAAGCGUGCGCAGGCGGUUUUGUAAGUUUGUCGUGAAAGCCCCGGGCUCAACCUGGGAAUUGCGAUGAAGACUGCAAGGCUUGAAUCUGGCAGAGGGGGGUAGAAUUCCACGUGUAGCAGUGAAAUGCGUAGAGAUGAUGGAGGAACACCGAUGGCGAAGGCAGCCCCCUGGGUCAAGAUUGACGCUCAUGCACGAAAGCGUGGGGAGCAAACAGGA